rnacentral:rRNA from 1 species
GGAUGCGAUCAUACCAGCACUAAAGCACCGGAUCCCAUCAGAACUCCGAAGUUAAGCGUGCUUGGGCGAGAGUAGUACUAGGAUGGGUGACCUCCUGGGAAGUCCUUGUGUUGUUGCAUUCC